CCUGACUCUAUUGUUUUUUACAUACCUGACUUAGUUGUUUCAUCUCUGGAGGAUUUGGGUUCCUCACCUAUAAUCUAAGAGGUCUGGAUUAGAUGGCCUCUAAAGUCCCUUCUAGCAAUCUGCAGUCAUGCAUGGUUUUUAGCUCUAGGUAACAAGAUGCCUCUCCCAGGAUCAGCUCAUCCCUUCCAGUCUUAUCACCAAGCCACCAGCUGGAGUCUGGAUUGAGACCCUCUGCCUCUUCUCCCCUCUGUUUGCAGGGCUUGAAGAUGGAGCACUGAAUUCCUCCCAAUGCCUUCCUUUAUAGAGAAAGAAAGCAGCCUUUCAGCUCACUCACUCCACUUUGCAUCUGCAGCUCUGCCUGGCUUCAGCUCCAUAGAACAACACCUUACCCUCCUCAUACCAGAUGGGGAAUGGGAGGCUCAGUGAUUUGAAGAUAUCACACAGUAACUGAGUGUCAGCCAGAACUCAGACACAGACUUCUUAACAUCAUCCGCUUCAUCAUCAUCUUCACAUUAGCUUUGGGACUCCUUGCUGCAAAAACCAAAGGUCCUUCUUCUGUCUCUGGUAAAUCAUCUUCUCCCCACUGAGAAACCACUAAGAUUUAUCCCUGAUGGAUGGCCAGGCCUGGACCCAUGAAUCCUUCAAAGAGCCCAGACCUGAAUGUUCAAUCUCUCAUAACUCUGAGUUAAGGACACAGAGUGACACCAGAGACAGCUGGAUAAAGAAUGAAAUAAGAGGCCGGAUAAGUGUAAUUGAUGGCAGAACCCUGACACACUGAGCUGGGGAAAGAGCUCGAGAUGGUCCCAAGUUCUGACUUAUUACCCACCCAUCAUCUUCUGGGGAUGGGAAAGGGGAGAGUUGAAAACACACCAAAUUUGGAGUCAUGGACCUGGACUGGAAUUCCAACUGUGCAGUUUCCUAGCUGUGUGUCCUUGGGGAAUCUUGUCUAUCGAACAAGGAGACAGAAAUGACAAAAGUGAACCAGAGGAAAA
rnacentral:lncRNA from 1 species